AUACGGAGGAUCCGAGCGUUAUCCGGAUUUAUUGGGUUUAAAGGGAGCGUAGGUGGACAGUUAAGUCAGUUGUGAAAGUUUGCGGCUCAACCGUAAAAUUGCAGUUGAUACUGGCUGUCUUGAGUACAGUAGAGGUGGGCGGAAUUCGUGGUGUAGCGGUGAAAUGCUUAGAUAUCACGAAGAACUCCGAUUGCGAAGGCAGCUCACUGGACUGCAACUGACACUGAUGCUCGAAAGUGUGGGUAUCAAACAGGAUUAGAUACCCUGGUAGUCCACACAGUAAACGAUGAAUACUCGCUGUUUGCGAUAUACAGUAAGCGGCCAAGCGUAAGCAUUAAGUAUUCCACCUGGGGAGUACGCCGGCAACGGUGAAACUCAAAUGAAUUGACGGGG
rnacentral:rRNA from 1 species